rnacentral:rRNA from 1 species
CUCUGGGAUAAGCCUGGGAAACUGGGUCUAAUACCGGAUAUGACUCCUCAUCGCAUGGUGGGGGGUGGAAAGCUUUAUUGUGGUUUUGGAUGGACUCGCGGCCUAUCAGCUUGUUGGUGAGGUAAUGGCUCACCAAGGCGACGACGGGUAGCCGGCCUGAGAGGGUGACCGGCCACACUGGGACUGAGACACGGCCCAGACUCCUACGGGAGGCAGCAGUGGGGAAUAUUGCACAAUGGGCGCAAGCCUGAUGCAGCGACGCCGCGUGAGGGAUGACGGCCUUCGGGUUGUAAACCUCUUUCAGUAGGGAAGAAGCGAAAGUGACGGUAC